rnacentral:rRNA from 1 species
GAUGAACGCUGGCGGCGUGCCUAAUACAUGCAAGUCGAACGAUUAGACUCGGUGCUGAGUGGCGUAAGGGUGAGUACUACAUAAGGAACCUGGCAUCUAUAGGCGGCUUACUGAUGGGAACGAACUCUAAGACAGCAUAGGUGUAGAGAUCGCAUGUACUCUAUCUGAAAAGUGCUACGGGAAUGGCAGAUGUUGGACUUAUGGCGCAUUAGCUCGUUGGUAGGGUAACGGCCUACCAAGGCGACGAUGCGUAGCCGACCUGAGAGGGUGAGCGGCCACACUGGAACUGAGACACGGCCCAGACUCCUACGGGAGGCAGCAGUAGGGAAUUUUCGGCAAUGGGGGAAACCCUGACCGAGCAACGCCGCGUGAAGGAAGAAGUAAUUCGUUAUGUAAACUUCUGUCAUAGGGGAAGAACGGUUGUGAUAGUAAAUAUUAUCGAAGUGACGGUACUCAAUAAGAAAGCCACGGCUAACUACGUG